GACGAACGCUGGCGGCGUGCUUAACACAUGCAAGUCGAACGGAAAGGCCCUGCUUUUGUGGGGGGCUCGAGUGGCGAACGGGUGAGUAACACGUGAGUAACCUGCCCUUGACUGUGGGAUAACUUCAGGAAACUGGGGCUAAUACCGGAUAGGAGCUCCUGCUGCAUGGUGGGGGUUGGAAAGUUUCGGCGGUUGGGGAUGGACUCGCGGCUUAUCAGCUUGUUGGUGGGGGGGUGGCUUACCAAGGCUUUGACGGGUAGCCGGCCUGAGAGGUUGACCGGCGACAUUGGGACUGCGAGACGGCCCAGACUCCUACGGGAGGCAGUAGUGGGGAAUAUUGCACAAUGGGCGGAAGCCUGAGGCAGCAACGCCGCGUGCGGGAUGACGGUUUUCGGGUUGUAAACCGCUUUCGCCUGUGACGAAGCGUGAGUGACGGUAAUGGGUAAAGAAGCACCGGCUAACUACGUG
rnacentral:rRNA from 1 species